GGACUGAGCUCCUUGAGGGCGGGGACUCCAUCUUGUCGAGUUCUCUAUUACCUGCACCACCACCACCACCAUAAGCCCCCAGCCUAGUGUCAGACACACACUGAAUGCUGGUGCAGCUGCAUGAGAGACCUCCAAUGGGGGCAUUGCUCCCUGGGGGCUGAGAGCCAGGGGAAGCUCUGACAUCCCCCCAUGGGAAGAGUAGGGUACAGGAUGCUGUUGUGAAAAGAACAAGGGCGUUGGGGCCAGUUAUACCUGUAGUUCAUUCAUUCAUUCAUUCCACAAAAUGUUCUUGAGUGAUGCUAUGUGCCAGCCCCUUCUCUAGGCACUAGGCAUUGAGCAGAGAACAAAAAAUCCCUGCUCUCAUGGAGCUUCGAUGCUAGUGGGAGCUUUGACUUCUGCUUCCGAGGGUUGUGUGACUUUAGGUAAAUCACGAACCCUCUCUGAGACCAUUUCCUCCCAGAGCACGUGAAGAUUAAAGGAGCUAACCCAUGAAAGAGCCUGCUGCGGUGUCAGACACCAUCACCAUUAAGGGAGCUUUGGCGGGUGAGGGGUGGGGGGCCCAUGGCAGCAGACAGAAGGAGAAAGGUUGACGGAAAUUUCUAAAAGUGUGUGUCUCCAAUGACACCCUGAAAACAUUCCCUUCCCCUGGGCUGAGGAGGCUGACCUAGGCUUUGGUUCCAGCAGGUACAAUCAUGGUUUUUUAGGAGGCAGUGUCAGCUUACCCCUUCUCUACCCUCCUAGCCUGGAAUGGGGCAGAAGCCGGUCCCCAGGAUGGCCCCUACCAGGUAUCUUGACUCUCCUACCCCUGAAUGAAGGACCUGGCAGUAAUCCCUGCUCUUUGGCUGCUCCCAAACCCAGCCUCUCCCGCCUUCUUCCCUGUUGACCAAGAGGUUGGCCAGAACAAACAAAAGCAGCAGAUAAGUUGGCUCUGAGCCCAGGCCACUAGCCUCUGCUCUUUCUGGGGGGCUGACGGAGCCCACGCUGAGGUGAGGACACAACAUCCACACCCUCCAUGCUCUUUUUUCCUGCCCCAGCUCCUCCCUCCAAACUCCCAUAGCUCGGUUUGCAGAAACCUUAUGUCUUGCGGCUUGUGUCACAUCAUAGCUUUUUCUGAGAACCUAGAUGUAAAUCAACUCCCAUUUUAAUAUGCACUGGGGAAACCUGCACUUUCAAGGAACCAAAUGAUUCAUUUUAUACAGUUGAAAAUCCUUUGGUAAACUGUUGGAGGUAUCUUUGGGGAGAGGGACGAGGCAGAGGAGGAGGUGUUUACUGUUUAUUUUUCUGCCUUUCUGUCUUGUUUACAUUCUUCACCAUUUGGAGGUAUUGAUUUUACUUACAGAAUGUCAACUGAGGAGUAUCUGACUUGUAGGAUCACAGGCCAUUCUGUUGAUCUGUAUUCUGGGUUCAUGUUUCAAAAGCUGAAUAAAUGUGACUUAAAAGGAAAUAAAAUUUAAAAAGCUGUUGGUAAAG
rnacentral:lncRNA from 1 species